GUUUCCCCAAGAGUUCUCUCAAAUCACUUCACUGAGUUAUUAUUCCCUUUAUUAAGGGCAAAUCUAUCCACUGAAGUGUUUGGGGGAACUCCCGAGCUUGC
rfam:Nicotiana attenuata strain TT chromosome 8, whole genome shotgun sequence.